rnacentral:rRNA from 1 species
GGCCCUCCGCUAAAUCACGGAAGGUCAUACCUGCACAAUGCCCCAAGGGGUCAAUUGCCGCGGUAGCCUGACCGUGCUAAGGUAGCGUAAUCAAUAGCCUAUUAAUUGUUGGCCUGUAUCAAUGGUCUCACGCUGGCGGUACUGUCUCUCCGGCACUUAUUCGAAUUUAACCUGAGGGUGAAAAGGCCCUAAUAAAACUGAAAGACGAUUAGACCCUAUCGAACUUUGGGUAGACUGCCUGCUACGGGGUAAUGCCUAUGACAGACAGAAAACCUUUGGUUGGGGAAACCGGGAGCCAUACAAAACGCUCACCCCCCAUCCACACUUACACGAGCGACCUGAAUGGACGUAAGCCGCCAUAAGGGGCUCUUACUUUCACUUGCCUAUGGGAAACCUACUUUAUAGCAUUAAAAGAAGAUGACAGUACACACCUGGCUGAUAUUAUGAACCCGACAGAUGUUCGCCCCAGGCACCCCUGCCGUGGCUCCGGGACACGGAAAGAUGCCUGGGACGGCAUAUAGUUGCGAAUAGGGAAGAGUUACCGUAGGGAUAACAGCGUAAUCCUUCCGGCGAGACCACAUUAAGGGAGGGGUUUGCGACCUCGAUGUUGGCUUAGGGCAACCUGGAAGUGCAGGGGCUUCCAAGGGUUGGUCUGUUCGACCAUUAAAGCCUUACGU